AGCUUUGCACAGUGGCAGUAUUGUAGCCAAUGAGGGCUAUUCCAGGUGCGAUUAUUGCGAUUAUUUUCAAUUAGCAAUAAUUAUGAAUUAAUGAACUUAAUUCAUUAAGUUAGUUAAAGUAUUAA
rnacentral:snRNA from 1 species